rnacentral:rRNA from 1 species
GUAAUCGGAAUGAGUACACUCUAAACCCUUUAACGAGGAUCAAUUGGAGGGCAAGUCUGGUGCCAGCAGCCGCGGUAAUUCCAGCUCCAAUAGCGUAUAUUAAAGUUGUUGCGGUUAAAAAGCUCGUAGUCGAAUUUGUGUCCCGCGCCGCCGGUUCAUCGCUCGCGGUGUCAACUGGCGUGUCCGCGGGACGUCCUGCCGGUGGGCUAAACCCCCUCGCGGGGCCGCCCAAUCUCAAUCCCACCGCGGUGCUCUUGACUGAGUGUCGAGGUGGGCCGGCACGUUUACUUUGAACAAAUUAGAGUGCUUAAAGCAGGCUAAAACAUCGCCUGAAUACUGUGUGCAUGGAAUAAUGGAAUAGGACCUCGGUUCUAUUUUGUUGGUUUUCGGAACCCCGAGGUAAUGAUUAAUAGGAACGGAUGGGGGCAUUCGUAUUGCGACGUUAGAGGUGAAAUUCUUGGAUCGUCGCAAGACGGACAGAAGCGAAAGCAUUUGCCAAAAACGCUUUCAUUGAUCAAGAACGAAAGUUAGAGGUUCGAAGGCGAUCAGAUACCGCCCUAGUUCUAACCAUAAACGAUGCCAGCUAGCGAUCCGCCGACGUUCCUCCGAUGACUCGGCGGGCAGCUUCCGGGAAACCAAAGCUUUUGGGUUCCGGGGGAAGUAUGGUUGCAAAGCUGAAACUUAAAGGAAUUGACGGAAGGGCACCACCAGGAGUGGAGCCUGCGGCUUAAUUUGACUCAACACGGGAAACCUCACCAGGCCCGGACACCGGAAGGAUUGACAGAUUGAGAGC